UCACCACCUACCUCCCAUCCAGCCCCCCACUCUCCAGCUCCCUCCCUGCCCAAUGCUCUGAGGCUCGAUGGUCCUUCAACUUCCUUUUUCUCAUCCCAGUAGGAGCAAGCAGGCUGAGAUUUAACAAUAACAGAGGCCACGGGUUGGGAGGCAUCCCUGUCACCACUCUGCCAGCAGUGUCAGCUGGAGCUUCCCCACACCCACCCAAUGCCAGAUGCAAACUCAGUCCCGAAUGCUGCAGCAGCGUAGGAAAUCAUCAAGGAAAAUGUGAAAGCCCCACAGCAGCACCCCCUGCUGCCUCCCCAUCUGCUCUUCAUUAGCUAAAUGAGUUGUGGUCUCCCAGAUGGGUGGCCCCAGCUCAGGGACCCCCCUGCAGCAAGUGGGGUGAUGAGUUGGGGUUGGGAUCAAGGGUGAUGCUUCCAGAAUCUGGGGCUCAGCUCCAGCUGGACCCGUCGGGAUGGUGCCCCCGGCCAGCUCUGCCCACAUCCCACAGCCCCAGCUCCAGCUUGUGAUUAAUACCUCGCUGGUCUGAACCUCAUUCAGACUUUCUGGGAUAAUUUCCUAGAAAUUCACCAUCCCUCCGCCAGCAAUGCUUCCCAGAUGUUGCAACCCAGCUCUGUGUUUGGCUGGCCCUGCAGCACACAGAGCAGCACGUUGCUACAACCCCUUCCAGUACAGAAACUGGAACCAUUGGGUUUGGGUCUGGUGGGUUCUGUGUUGGACUCAACGAUCCCUGUGGGUCCCUUCCACCUCCAGAUAUUCUAUCAUUCCAUGGUCCUAUAAAUUGUUCUACAAUUAAUUUGUAGUGGCUGCUCUUCUUUCUGAUGCCCGUAGGUGGAGAAAGAGAGCUUCACCCCUUCGGGUUCCCUUUACAGCAGCUCAGCUCAGGAGGGUGCAUGGUGCUUUGGGCUCUGUCCCAUCGGGUGCCCGGUUUGGGUGAUCCAACCCCUGUUGAGACAGAGAUGUUGGCCUGCACAAAGCUCCACACCCUCAGGACAAAGGUGGCUCCUCUGGGAGACCACAUACCCUCUUGAGAGACUUGAGGUGCUGCAUGAACCAUAGGAUAUGCAUGAGCAUGGGAUGAGCAAACGCUGUGCAGGUCCAUGACAGCCCAGGACCCAUUUUCUGCCCUGGGGUAGCACAUCCUGUGGGGUUAAUGCCUUUCUACCUUCACACAGGUGGCCUCAACCAAUCCAAUGGCAGGCAUCCCAAAAUGGAGCUGUUCCAGGGAGCCCAGCUCCAAGCCAUGCGGAGGAUGGCCCCAUCUAAUGCUGCUCCCUGGUUGAUGGGAUGGCCCCAUCACCACUGCUCAGGAAUAUCUCCACCCAGUCCUGGUGUUCUGCAGGCAUUCACCCACCACGGCCCAACCUCCUUGGCCAUCACUGACCAUACCCACACCCACCCAGGAGUGACCCAUCCCCAAGCCAAAAACGUCCCUAUUGAUCGUUGGAGAUCACUUGAGGGGAACGAUUCAACCCCAGAACAAUGGGAGGCAUCACUGUUUUUGGGAGAUGUGUUAUUUUUUUUCUCCCAGAACAAAGCUGUUGGUUUGAGAAGGGCAGAAGUAUUCCCUGAUUCAAACCAAACCAAGAAUAAGGAAGGGUUAAAGAAGCAGGCAGAAACUAUUUGCUAUGACCUCCCGUUGACUGGGAUCAUUUUUUUCCCUCCCAAAUUUUGGUUCAGCCACCCGGUUGAAAACUACCUCCUGUCCCAGCCUGGCCACACUGUGGGUUUGACCCUGGCCCAAUUUAAUGCACGGAUCGUGCCAAGGGUGGACGAAUGCUCACUGCCAGCCCAGCACGGGGGGAGGAAUCAAUGGGAGGGCUGAGAGAAGCCCGAUUUGUUGGAAUAAAAGCAAGACUUUGCUGCUUCAUUGUGCUGCCCAUAAAGCAUUCACAAAAGCAGCGCUUGAGGCCGACCGUGAAAAAGAAAGCAGUCCUUGCCCAGGAAGAACAAAUGUUUACCUUGCACGCUGCAAGCUGACGCCGGGUGAUCUCAGGUGGUUUAAUAGCACUGAAAAGGGCUUUUGUGCUUCUCUGUGCAAUGGAGGAUGAGCUGCAGUGGUUGUCACAUCUGUAUUUUGUCCCAUGGAAUUGGCCAUUUGGGUCUUGGACAGCACUGCUGAGGAGGAUCCUCAUUCCCCCUUGGGUCCCACCAGCUCUUUGCUGUGGGCUUUGGUUCCUCCUACUCAUUACAAGUUGAUCCCCAAGAUCUAUCCUUGAGUGCUUCCUGGGUCCACUUCCACAUUUAAUCUUUGAGAUCAGACAUCCCAUUUCAAGUAGCAUCCCCAUUUCUCUCUAACUUCCCUUUCUGCAGCUGAUUGCUGCAGUAGGAGCUUUCUACUUUUCCCCUCACUGCAAAUGGUUUGUAGUCAACAGACUUUCUGCUAAAUCCAUACUGCUAUAUCCAUACAGGAGAAAGCUUAGCCCAUGGCAGCUCAAACCCACCAGGACGAUGCCCAAGCACGGUCUGCCCAAUGGGUUGGCCAUACAGAUGUCCUCUCCAAGGAUAGAGUUCUUCUCCAAGACCUGAGAGCUUUAAAGAAGGCACCAUCUACGGAAGGCAUUUUCUACAGGAAAAAGCCCACAGCAUCUUGCAGCAGACCCACUUGGUGGACCAGCUCUACCAGUGAUUGUCCCAAGGAGAGAAGAGGAAUGAUGGUGACUCAACAGCAAAAGCUAUUGCAGAAAAUGUCCCUUUUUUUCAGCUAUAUCAUGGUCCUGGUUACCUUGAGCCAAGGGGAUCUCACCUACAGCUUCCCAGGGCAGGGCUGGGGGAGACAACAAGAACCUGGUCAUCCUGGGGGACAUUCCCCCCAUACAGAAGGCUCUAUGACAACCAGUUGUCCUGCAGAAGGUCAAGAGACCCGGGGCUGGUGGGAAACAAAUGGGGCUUUGAGGCAGAACUACUUUUCUAUGGACACCUCCAGCAUGGGGCUCAGGUUGUUUUUUUUUUUUGCCCAGGGAAGACAAUGUGGUCGCUCUGCCUGGGGAUGACGAUGCAGAUGAUGACCCCUCGGGACAGGCAGUGACUUUCCCGACACUUUAACCUCAGUCUAAUUAGUCUGAGGGGAGUGUUUGUUCUGGCUUUGCUCUCAGCAGAUGGCAAAGGGCCAGGACAACGACUUCCCAGCCUGAACACUGGAAAGACUCCGGGCAGAUUUUUGUAGCACAACAAAUGCCAUGCCCUGACCCCAUCCCAUCACCUUUUGGCUGUUCAGGGCUUGGCAGAAGCACCACAUGCCUGCUUGCUCCAGGAGAAGGGGAAAGCGAUGCUAAGGACCAACAGCCUUGACUCCUAGUGGUCCAGGACUCGCUGAGUUUUGCUCGGUGGUCUACCUGCACCACUAUCAUAGAAUCACAGAAUGGCUUGGGAUGGAAGGGACCCCAAGGAUCGUCAAGUUCCAAGCCCCCUGCUGUAGGCAGGGCCACCAACCUCCACAUUUAACAUUAGACCUGGCUGCCCAGGAACCCAUCCAACUGUGCCAGGUUAUGGCCCUGCUUCCCAAGAAAGGUUGAGAUCUGCCUGAGUUGGGCAUCCUGGAUAACAGAGCAGAGAGAAAUAGCAGUGUGUGCCACUGCUGCGCCCUCGUGCUGUUUUUGGGCCAAACUGGAUUUUCUGACAUUCCACAAUGUGGGCUCAUGCCUCGUGCAGCACCCCAAAAACCCUUUUCUGGUGCAAAAGAGUAAUGCUACGGGAAGCUGAAACACCACUGGUGCAGAACCAGACCUGUUCUUCUUGUGUAUAACCAUGGUGGGUAAUGGAUGGGGACGUCACUGUCCACCCCUAAACAUCCCUCUCUACCAUCAACCUUUCUCUUCAGCACUGUUCCUGCCGGCCUGAGGUUUUGAGUGCAAUCCAGAGAGAAAGCAAAAAUGGAAAUCCCCCAGGGCGCAGGGGGGAGGAGGAUGGGAAGCAGUUGGUUUCUAUGCUGGUGGCAGCGUUGGGCUGGCUGUGGGCCAGUCAGCUGCGGGGACGUGGAGACACCAAGUCCAGGGCAUGGUGACCUCGUAGGCAACGUCUCGCCAGGCUCUGCUCCUCAGAUGGGGUCAUGGUAGAUGAAGAUUGGAAGAGGGCUGAAGGGAUGUGCCUGAGGCUGUAGGGUUGCAGAGUCGGGUUGAGAUCCUGGCUGCCCAACCCAUCGUCUUCCUCCUUAUGGGCAAGACCACAGACCUUGGACGUGGAGGAGGACAACAAGGGCGCAUCCUUCACACCCCCAGGCUUGGUCCAAAGCCCACGUUCCCUUCACCCUACAUAUGGGCUGGAUAAACCCUCCUCAUGGCAGCAGAAGAGGACAAAUAUUUGGCUCUGCAUGUGUGUUUUUUUAUUAUUAUUAUUUUUAUGUGCAAUAUUUCUAAGGAACCAUCGCAGAUCGUGGGAGGUCACUGUAACUCAGCCGCAGGCAGCUAAGAGCUCUGCAUAAUCUCAGACCUUGUCCCCAGAAUAUUCAGAAGUCGCCAGGUGAUGCCCUUUGAGCUCUUUCUAAAGCAAAACUCAGCACUGGGAGAACGGGUAAACCACGUGGGAUCCUUCCUGAUCCCAAGGGAAGGGGAUGCAGGCACAUCCGUGGGGACGCCUGGACCAAGACGCAAAGAGCAAUGCUAAAACCAAAGCGAUGGGGUGGGAGGAGGGAAGCAUUUGCAUCACUUUGCACCAGGCAGAGGAAUGUGAGCUUGGCAUAGGACGGUCAACGCCAACGUAUCGAGCACUGAGUGGCUCUUUUCUGAACUCUUCAAACCACUCAACCCCAAUUCCCAGCAGCUCCUACUGGACCGUGGUGCUGAUUGAUGCCUGCUCAGACGUAGCAGUGAUUUGUAACCUCAAGGGUGCAAAGGGCAGCAGAGUAAAGAAAAACAUCUGAAUGUUUUGGAACUUGGUGGUACAGCCCAGGGUCUCCCAGCCCCAUUGCAGCUGAAGCAUUUCCCUGCUCUGCAGCCCCAUGGCCGUCUUCCAGAACCUUAUCUCAGUGGGUUCCUGUGUCUGUCACAGUCCUUAACUCCCUCCAAAUGUGCUCCUCAUGCUCAUAAACUGGGAGUGCAUCCCAUUCCUGCCGCCUGGUUUUGCAGGCUGGGUGAGCAUAACAGCAUGAAAGUAGUAUUUGGGGCUGUAAAUUGGUUUUAUCCAUUCUUCCUCCUUUCUUUUACUUCUUUUCUUCAUUCACCCCCUCGCUCCCCUCCCCUUUCCCUCCUUUCUUUUUAUCGUGGAGAGUCACAUCAUGGCCUCAGUCUCUCUGUCUCUGCUUAUCUGCAGUGGGAAAGAGGGGCCAGAUGCCCUCCAAGGCGCUGAGCAGAGCGUCUGCAGAGGCAAAGCACAGCCUGGAGCCUGCCCAGCAGGACUGUUUGGGCUGAAGGGAGCACUGAUUAGGGCUGUUCAAGGCCCCGAGAAAGCUGACUUUAAUGCUGCAGCAACGAGGGUGCAGGAUGGGAGCUGUCUGCCUGCCCAUGGCUGCUGGGCACGCGGUGCCUGUCCCACUCCCUUCUUCUCCCCAAGUCCAUGGUGCCAUUGGGAUGAUGCCCAUUUGGGGCAGAAGAGGAUGGCAGGAAACAGGAUGGAAAGCAGUCGCCCCUUCCUCCAGCAAAUCCCUCUGCAACCUUCACUUAACCAAGCAGUGGUUCUUUCAAGGUGAGACUUUCAAGGAUCAGGCCCUGGGCAACCUGAUCUAGCUGUGGUGUCCCUGUGCAUUGCGAGGGAGUUGGACUGGAUGGCCUUUAGAUGUCCCUUCCAACUCUAAGCAUUCUACGAUUCUACGAUUCUAUGCUCAGCCUGGCUUGGCACACCCCUGGAAAAGUAAGGCUCUACCUCCUCCGGGCAUAGAUAGUUCUCCUCGUCAUCUAUAGAAAACAGUUUAAAACCAAGAGUGGAAAUUUAGGUUAGAUUUUAGGAGGAAAUUCUUUGCUCAGAGGGCAGUGAGGCCCUGGUGCUGCUGCCCUGAGCUUUGGGUGCCCCACUCCUGGAGGUGCCCAAGGCCGUGGAUGGGGUCCUGAGCACCCUGAGCUGGUAGGGGGCACUCAGCCCAUAGCAGGGUGUUGUAAAAAGAUGGUCUCAAGGUCUGUUCCAACCUAAGUCAUUCUAUGAUUCUGUAAUAACAUGACAAAACAAGUCUCAAGGCAUUGGCCCAAUGCCUUUGGACUCGUCAGUACAAAAUCAGUCAUCCAGAAUGGAUGGCCAACCCAUGCAGAUUCUCAGGCUCUCCUGCGGGAGGGAUGCAAUGUUUCCAGGUAUUGCCCACCCCCAGCUGUGCCUGUGCUCCCAUCCCUAAGCAGAGCAGGUGGAGCAGUCACCGUGCCCUGACGGCUCUCCAUAAACAGACCUCUCAUUCUCUCAGGCUGGAUGUGGCUCUGGGCAGCCUGGUCUGCUGGUUGGCGACCCUGCACAUAGCAGGGGGCUGGAAGUGGAUGAGCAUUGUGGUCCUUUUCAACCCAGGCCAUUCUAUGACUCUAUGGUUCACCCCAAGGCGAGCAUGACGUCCCCACCAGCUGUGCUAACAUCUGGGCUCCGCUCUCCUGCAGGAGCGCUCACGUCAGAGGACAGAAGUUCAUCCACUUCAGGCAGAGCAUUUCUCUCUGAUCCGGUGACAAACACGUGGUGCUCCUCCUCCGCAGCACAUCUAGGGAGGGAGGAGGGGGAUGAGCUCACCGUGUCAUCACGGGGUCACCGUGUGGGGCGAAGGGACCCUUCGUGCUGUCCCUGAUGGGCACCGUGGGUGAGAUAAAGCUUUACGCAAGGGCUUCCAAGAAGUUGGCAUCAGUAGCAAACACAGCCUAUGUCCCUUGAGGGAGUUUGUCUCCUGAAUUAAUCUGCCAGCCACUCGGUCCAAAUUCGCCAUCAUUUAGGGUUGUUUUCUCCCACGGAGUCGUGGUUUCUGAGAGUCCCUUGGGGGAAGUCAAUGAUGGCAAAGGAGAAGCUGCAGAUCCGGUGGCACGAAGCAGAGCAAGGUGCUGACAGUUAUACAGUUCCUUAUAGACAGGAGGAGGAACAAAGUCCGUGUGAGGGAUGCGUGCCAACCCCAGGCCUAGGAUUUGCACAUCUGUGCAGGCAAGGCAAUGAGAGACUGCUUCUUUCCUGCCUGCUAAGUAGAAGGUCACACACACAGACUAUUGACAAGGUUUAGGAACCACCACUGAAGGAAGGAAUUAGGAACAAGCUCCAGCAGGGAGAUGUGGAGCAGGGUGCCCAGGGCUGUGCUGAGUUGGGUUUUGAGCACCUCCAAGGAUGGAGACCACACAACCUCUGGGGGCAACCUCAACCACCCCCUCAGUGACAAAAUAUUUUCCAUAUGUUUCAACAGAGUUUCUUGCCCCAUGGCCCCACUCAGAAGAGUUAGACUCCAUUGUCUUCAUUCCCACCCCAUCAGGCAUUUAUAGAAGUCAAUGAGAUCCCCUUGAGCCUUCUUAUCUGCAGGGUGAACAGUUCCAGUUCUCCAGUUCUCCUUAUACUGAAGAUGCCCCAAUCUUAUCAUCAUCUAUGCAGCCCUGUGCUGGACUCAGUUAUGGCCGUAUCUCUUGAAGACUUGGCUGGUGAGUGCUGGUCAGAUGUUGGGGGGUCAAGAAGGGAUCUCCCCUUUGGAUUUGGCCAUGGAAAGAUGAGCUGGGAUCUUGGGGCAGUCCCAUGAUGCUUGACUGGACCCAAACUGCCCAGCAACCUAGAGGAGGAAAGAGGGAAGUAACCAGUAGGAAGGACAGUUCUACUAUUUAAAAGUUCCUGAGUAAUUUCUAUAUAUAUAUAUAUCAAAAAGAGAAUAACCAACUCUUACUUAUUUCACUUAAAAAUAGACUCUCAUGCAUCUGGGACAGAGCUGUGUUGCCCCAUGCCAAGACAGGCGAGAUGCGUGGAGGAGGGGCCUUCCCAGACAUGUGGCAGUUUCCACCUGCUCCAUCUAAAUUUAGAUGGGAGACCCAUCCUGUCCCUUCUUCCAGGACCACAUGGAUUUUAAUGCUGAGAAGUUUCCAAAGCUCUGGGGCUUCUGCUUCUGUGCUUGCCUUGGAGCAAGGCCAUAGCGUGAGUCACCUGGCGCUUACAGCUUGUUUAGUGUACCAGUUUGGGCUCUAUUGAAUUUCUAGGAGGGAAUUUAGUUCAUAAUCCCAAUCAGUGAAUUGUCAAGGAAGAGGAGAAGGAAGAAGAGGAGGAGAAACCAGUCCGUUUGGUGGUCACGCUGCCACAAGCCGUUUCUCAUUGUCUGCUGGUGUGAAUAUAUCUUUCCUUACGCCACCGUCCCAUGAUCCACAUGGCAGCCUCGUGAACUGUGUGCACAUCAUUGUCUUUUUCAAGCCCUAUGUGGCUCCUAUAGAUUUACUGUGGAUGCAAAGGUGGAAUGCAGUCCAUUGGAGACAUCUGCUUGGAAGACAUCCAGAGAAGACAUUGCUGUGUUGACUCAUGGACCAUAGGGUGCCCCUGAAAUACCAGGGACCUGCUGAGGACUCACCCAGGGCCUCCCUUCCAGGACCUGGAGGGACCUACAAGAAAUCUGGGGAGGGACUUUUUAUAUGGGCAUGUAGAGACAGGAGGAGGGGAAGUGGCUUUAAGCUGGAGGAGGGUAGAUUUGGAGUAGAGAUUGGGAAGAAAUUCUUAAUGUGAGGGUGGUGAGACACUGACACAGGUUGCCCAGUAAGGCUGUGGGUGCCCCCUCCCUGGAAGCACUCAAGGCCAGGCUGGAUGGGGCUGUGAGCAGCCUGGGCUAUGGGAGGUGUCCCUGCACAUAGCAGGGGGUUGAGACUGGGUGAGCUUCAAGGUCCCUUCCAACCCAAACCAUUCCACCAUUCCAUGACUCUACGGUCACGUUUCCCCUCCAGCCUUCCUGGAAUCACAGCUUCUCGUACACCAUCCUCGUUAUUUUUCUGGUUUUAUUUUAAUCCCCUUUGUUAUUGUUCAGCUUCCCUUCAAGUCAGUGUUUCUAAGGAUCCCAGAAUAGAGAAUCGCAUCAGAUAAUAACAGGAAGGAAAAGGGAAUGCCUAGGAUUACUGGACGCAUUAAAUUAAACCUAUUUCACAAGUCUUUCACCAGAGGUGCUUCCCCUGGCCUCGGUGUUCAGCUCUGGAAAGGUGCAGGGGAGGAAGAAGAGUGAUGCAAAAGGAGAGCUUCGGAGUCAUUUCCCAGACUGGGCACCGUGGCAAAGCUCGUUGUCAUAAAUCACCGCGAUUGGCGUUGCCUGAAUGCUUGGCCUGGUGGUGUCUGUGGUGUCUGAGGGCGCCUGGGGUUCCUGGCAUGGAGCCUCCAGCCCACUCCAUACCCAGGACGGAGUCAU